rnacentral:rRNA from 1 species
GCCAGCAGCCAUAUCACCCUUUAACUCACAUCUGGCAACCCCUUGAAGUUAAGCAGGUGUGAGCCUGAUGAGUACCUGGAUGGGAGACCUCCUGGGGAAAAACUAAGGUUGCUGCUGGAA